rnacentral:sRNA from 1 species
CAGCUGCGGUCCAUCUUGGUCAAGGACACCCAGGCCAUGAAGGAGAUGCACUUCCACCCCAAGGCCCUGAAGGACGUGAAGGGCCAGAUCGGGGCGCCCAUGCCCGGGAAGGUGAUAGACAUCAAAGUGGCGGCAGGGGCCAAGGUGGCCAAGGGCCAGCCCCUGUGUGUGCUCAGUGCCAUGAAGAUGGAGACUGUGGUGACCUCACCCAUGGAGGGUACUGUCCGCAAGGUUCAUGUGACCAAGGACAUGACACUGGAAGGUGACGACCUCAUCCUGGAGAUUGAGUGA